CCUACGGGAGGCAGCAGUAAGGAAUAUUGGUCAAUGGACGAAAGUCUGAACCAGCCAUGCCGCGUGAAGGAUGAAGGCCCUCUGGGUUGUAAACUUCUUUUAUCUGGGACGAAAAAAGCUCAUUCUUGAGCACUUGACGGUACCAGAGGAAUAAGCACCGGCUAACUCCGUGCCAGCAGCCGCGGUAAUACGGAGGGUGCAAGCGUUAUCCGGAUUCACUGGGUUUAAAGGGUGCGUAGGUGGGUCUGAAAGUCAGUGGUGAAAUCUCCGAGCUUAACUCGGAAACUGCCAUUGAUACUAUAGGUCUUGAAUCAUCUGGAGGUAAGCGGAAUAUGUCAUGUAGCGGUGAAAUGCUUAGAUAUGACAUAGAACACCAAUUGCGAAGGCAGCUUACUACGGGUGCAUUGACACUGAGGCACGAAAGCGUGGGGAUCAAACAGGAUUAGAUACCCUGGUAGUCCACGCCCUAAACGAUGGAUACUCGACANACAGCGACUACACUGUUGGUUGUCGUGAGACGAAGACAUAAUAUACCACCGACGGAGACGACCGACGAGUAGUAACGUACGAAUAGAGUAGUAGACGNGAGAGNGCGACGGACGACGACGAGGGAGGAGG
rnacentral:rRNA from 1 species